rnacentral:tRNA from 1 species
GAUUUUGGCUCAGAGGUAGAGCGCUCGCUCAGCAUGUGUGAGGUGCUGGGUUCGAUCCUUAGCACUACA